GAAUCAGUACGCUGGUCGUGCCUUCGGUAUGUACUGGUGUCACUGAUUCCUCCCUUCUGAAGAACCAUCAUGCCAUUCACUUGGUGUGGUGGGGAAUCAGGACUGUUACUUUGAAAAAAUUAGAGUGUUCAAAGCAGGCCUUUGCUCGAAUAUGUUAGCAUGGAAUAAUAAAACAGGACG
rnacentral:rRNA from 1 species